GUGGGUGGCAAGCGUUGUCCGGAAUUAUUGGGCGUAAAGCGCGCGCAGGCGGUUCUUUAAGUCUGAUGUGAAAGCCCACGGCUCAACCGUGGAGGGUCAUUGGAAACUGGAGAACUUGAGUACAGAAGAGGAAAGCGGAAUUCCACGUGUAGCGGUGAAAUGCGUAGAGAUGUGGAGGAACACCAGUGGCGAAGGCGGCUUUCUGGUCUGUAACUGACGCUGAGGCGCGAAAGCGUGGGGGAGCAAACAGGAUUAGAUACCCUGGUAGUCCACGCCGUAAACGAUGAGUGCUAAGUGUUAGGGGGUUUCCGCCCCUUAGUGCUGCAGCUAACGCAUUAAGCACUCCGCCUGGGAGUACGGCCGCAAGGCUG
rnacentral:rRNA from 1 species